AUCAUUGUCGUGUCGCAUUGGUCGUCGACUGUGCACGACCCUUUUCUGUUCUUAUCGAAUAACCCUUCGAUAGAGAUUCGAUUGAAUCUCGUUAAGGUUAUUUGAUUUUUGAGAUCGAUGAAGUAGUGGGCUUGCUCGCUCUUCAUCACGGGUCGGCCCAGCAUUGCACUGCUGCUGGGAUCGGCCCACCCCAC
rnacentral:snRNA from 1 species